UACGGAGGGAGCUAGCGUUGUUCGGAAUUACUGGGCGUAAAGCGCACGUAGGCGGCUACUCAAGUCAGAGGUGAAAGCCCAGGGCUCAACCCUGGAACUGCCUUUGAAACUAGGUAGCUAGAAUCUUGAAGAGGUCAGUGGAAUUCCGAGUGUAGAGGUGAAAUUCGUAGAUAUUCGGAAGAACACCAGUGGCGAAGGCGACUGACUGGACAAGUAUUGACGCUGAGGUGCGAAAGCGUGGGGAGCAAACAGG
rnacentral:rRNA from 1 species